GACGAACGCUGGCGGCGUGCCUAAUACAUGCAAGUAGAACGCUGAAGGAGGAGCUUGCUUCUCUGGAUGAGUUGCGAACGGGUGAGUAACGCGUAGGUAACCUGCCUGGUAGCGGGGGAUAACUAUUGGAAACGAUAGCUAAUACCGCAUAAUAGCAGUUGUUGCAUGACAACUGUUUGAAAGGUGCAAUUGCACCACUACCAGAUGGACCUGCGUUGUAUUAGCUAGUUGGUGGGGUAGCGGCUCACCAAGGCGACGAUACAUAGCCGACCUGAGAGGGUGAUCGGCCACACUGGGACUGAGACACGGCCCAGACUCCUACGGGAGGCAGCAGUAGGGAAUCUUCGGCAAUGGCCGGAAGUCUGACCGAGCAACGCCGCGUGAGUGAAGAAGGUUUUCGGAUCGUAAAGCUCUGUUGUAAGAGAAGAACGAGUGUGAGAGUGGAAAGUUCACACUGUGACGGUAUCUUACCAGAAAGAGACGGCUAACUACGUG
rnacentral:rRNA from 1 species